CCCAUUCGAUAAAAUGUGUUCCCCUGGGCGGAAAUCGGUUUUCCAUGCAGGAGCGGUUGCUCCACAAGGGAAAGAAAGCGAGGUUCAGAGAGGUUUAUUGCCCUCAAUAGCCAGGAAUUGAACACAGGUGCCCGGCAGGAUUGUACUUUCCUGCCCCCUUUAAAGACCAGCAUGACCACAGGCCCUGCUUUGGCCAAAACAAUGUGAGGAGAAAUGACAUAUAUCUCUUCCAGGAAGAGAAGUCUUUGGAGCUUGUGAUUAUUUGCUCAGGUCUUCCCUCUGCACACUAGCCCCCAUAUUCAAGAUCCAUUUGGGACCCCAUUUGGGGUCCCUCAACCUAGGUCUCUGAGCAAAACUAUUUGCAUAGAGCCAUUCCUCCAAACUGCCCAACAGGCAAUGGUCAUAUGAUAGGAACAAGAAGUAAAUCUGUUAUUUUAAACCAUU